GGAUCAUUAUAGAGUUUUCUAAACUCCCAACCCAUGGUGAACUUACCUUUUGUUGCCUCAGCAGAAGUUAUAGGUCUUCUUAUAGCUGCUGCCGGUGGACCAUUAAACUCUUGUUAUUUUAUGUAAUCUGAGCGUCUUAUUUUAAUAAGUCAAAACUUUCAACAACGGAUCUCUUGGUUCUGGCAUCGAUGAAGAACGCAGCGAAAUGCGAUAAGUAAUGUGAAUUGCAGAAUUCAGUGAAUCAUCGAAUCUUUGAACGCACAUUGCGCCCAUUAGUAUUCUAGUGGGCAUGCCUGUUCGAGCGUCAUUUCAACCCUUAAGCCUAGCUUAGUGUUGGGAAUCUACUUCUCUUAGGAGUUGUAGUUCCUGAAAUACAACGGCGGAUUUGUAGUAUCCUCUGAGCGUAGUAAUUUUUUUCUCGCUUUUGUUAGGUGCUAUAACUCCCCAGCCGCCAAACCCCCAAUUUUUUGUGGUUGACCUCGGAUCAGGUAGGAAUACCCGCUGAACUUAAGCAUAUCAAUAAGCGGAGGAAAAGAAACCAACAGGGAUUGCCUUAGUAACGGCGAGUGAAGCGGCAACAGCUCAAAUUUGAAAUCUGGCCCUUGGGUCCGAAUUGUAAUUUGUAGAGGAUGAUUUUGGUGCGGUAUCUUCCGAGUUCCUUGGAACAGGACGCCUUAGAGGGUGAGAGCCCCGUACGGUUGAAUGCCUAGCCUCUGUAAAUCUCCUUCGACGAGUCGAGUAGUUUGGGAAUGCUGCUCUAAAUGGGAGGUAAAUUUCUUCUAAAGCUAAAUAUUGGCCAGAGACCGAUAGCGCACAAGUAGAGUGAUCGAAAGAUGAAAAGCACUUUGAAAAGAGGGUUAAAUAGCACGUGAAAUUGUUGAAAGGGAAGGAUUUGUGACCAGACUUUUUCUGGGCGGAUCAUCCGGGGUUCUCUCCGGUGCACUUCGCCCAGUAAAGGCCAGCAUCGGUUUUCGGCGUGGGAUAAAAGCAGUAGGAAUGUGGCUCUCUACGGGGAGUGUUAUAGCUCUAUUGUAU
rnacentral:rRNA from 1 species